CCUACGGGAGGCAGCAGUGGGGAAUAUUGCACAAUGGGCGCAAGCCUGAUGCAGCCAUGCCGCGUGUAUGAAGAAGGCCUUCGGGUUGUAAAGUACUUUCAGCGGGGAGGAAGGGAGUAAAGUUAAUACCUUUGCUCAUUGACGUUACCCGCUGAAGAAGCACCGGCUAACUCCGUGCCAGCAGCCGCGGUAAU
rnacentral:rRNA from 1 species